GCCUGCUGAUAACAUCUGCCAGGUAAGCAGAAAAUAAAAUAGCAUUGCUUUCAUCAAUAAAUAGUGCAUCACAUGGCAUUCCAAAAAAAAAAUUUUUUUCCCUGUGUUUAAUGAUCAGUUAAUGUGAUACUGUCUGUCUCUCUCUCUUUUAACCAGCAGAGAUUAAGCAAACCAUCUAAGAACAUAAUACAAGUAAGCAGAAAUAUUUUGGGUACCAGAAAUAAUAAUUAUUUUCCCUGCAUUCUUUUAUUUUCUUCUGUGUAAGAUAUAUAUGAAUGCUGUUUCAGUUAACUACUAAUGUGUUGUAUAUAAUAGCAACAACACAUUUAAUUCACUCUAUACUUGAUAUUGCCCCAUUAACUAGGUCUCAGCUCAGCCCAAUGUGCAGUUUUACCCAGAGAUAGUUAAUCUGCCUUAAAAUAAGUAUUUAGAUAUUGUGAAAAUACAAACUUCUUUCAGAUAGUGUCAAGAUCAGAUUAUAACUCCAGUGCUGCAAGCCGGCGUCAAAAACGGGCACCGACGUAAAAAAAAACGGGCGCUGGCGUCAAAAACGGGUGCCGCCGUUUCACUAAUUUUUCGACAUUUCGCGCGAAAUUCCCGAAUUUUUCGGCAAAGCGAAACGGCGCAAAUUCGCCCAUCACUACUCCUUCUGUCUCUCAAUCAGGAAAAUAAAGUGGAACCUAAAGAGAACAUACAUGAGGCUCCCACUGAACUUGCAUUCGGGAAGCUGUACCGAGUAAGAAAUAUUGGAUUAAUGUGCAACUCUGAUCUGACUCUGUAUCGUCCCACCUAUAAUUCCCUAUUAAAACAUUUUUUCCCAGUGCAUUAUGUUUUAUUAUUACAGAGAAAAAGCAAAUGUUUUUUUCAAAAUUUAAACUAUUUGGAUAAAAUGGAGUCUAUUGGAGACAGCCUUUGCAUAAUUCGGGAGCUUUCUGAAAAAUGGGUUCCCAGAUAAUCUAUCCAUAACCUGUAAUAGUUUAAGCCUAUAAAAAUGUAUCAUGUGACCUAUAUUUACUAUUCUCUAUAACAAUAUUAUUGACUAAUCCCUUAAUUCUAUAAAAGCUGAACCAGCAAAAUGAUUUUACACCAAAUUGUAAAGGAAAAUGAUAUAACCCAACUCAUUGCCUGCUCAAACAUUGUAAUGAUAGAUUAUGAUUUUUGUUUAUGAAUUAAAAUCAGGUAUGGAAUUGCAGAAAUAAACAUGCAGCUGUUAUUUUGUUGUAUAA